GACGAACGCUGGCGGCGUGCUUAACACAUGCAAGUCGAACGGAAAGGCCCUGCUUUUGUGGGGUGCUCGAGUGGCGAACGGGUGAGUAACACGUGAGUAACCUGCCCUUGACUUUGGGAUAACUUCAGGAAACUGGGGCUAAUACCGGAUAGGAGCUCCUGCCGCAUGGUGGGGGUUGGAAAGUUUCGGCGGUUGGGGAUGGACUCGCGGCUUAUCAGCUUGUUGGUGGGGUAGUGGCUUACCAAGGCUUUGACGGGUAGCCGGCCUGAGAGGGUGACCGGCCACAUUGGGACUGAGAUACGGCCCAGACUCCUACGGGAGGCAGCAGUGGGGAAUAUUGCACAAUGGGCGGAAGCCUGAUGCAGCAACGCCGCGUGCGGGAUGACGGCCUUCGGGUUGUAAACCGCUUUCGCCUGUGACGAAGCGUGAGCGACGGUAAUGGGUAAAGAAGCACCGGCUAACUACGUG
rnacentral:rRNA from 1 species